AGUACUUUUCCGAUCGUAUUUCCUAUGAGAUUCGACCCCAACCUAUUUGGGUUCUAUAUUUGAUACAACGACCGCCUUGCACGGUGUAAUGGAAGAAAUUUUUUGUGAAAAGCUUAAUUUUGAUUGUGAGAAGGGACAAAAAUGUUGCUCUUUCCGUCUUCCCACUUGACUUAUUUGGUACCAGCUGGUGGAACAAGUAGUACCCAUUAUAUCAGGUAACUCAUAACAAUUUGGUUCAGACUAUCGUUGACAAGCAAUGGUCCAUUGACUACGAAUCCGCUUGGGGGACAAUUGUCUUCGCGAGGAACUUUAUCAUCCACAUGACGAAUAGUGGCGAUCUCGGUAAUGAGGCUUUUCAUAUUUUUUAGCCUUCUUUUUCAAAAUUCUUUUCCCAAGUUUAUGUGCAAUUGGUUGAAGGAAUUCUCAAUAGAGAUUACCAUCGUAGCAUACGGGGACUGACUUUUAUUUAUGAUGAGACCCAACCACACCGUUAAAUGGCAGAGAUGUUUACUACAGUCAAUUCCCACCAGCCUCAAUUUGGCAGGAACACAGGUUUUUGAUUGGCCUAGUAUUGGGAGAUAUACCGGUACAAUCAAUUAUCAUGUCAAGUGUCACCUACAUAUGUCUGUUGAUUGUCAGAAUCUCUUUCUGUCUGUGUUUUUUCUUUUGACAAUGUUCCUCUUGCAACCAAUCCAGCUCCAACUUGUUGAAAAGUGAUGAAUUUGAUUUGAAGGAGUUUCUUUUAUUUUUGUUGCAAUCAAAGAUCAUGUUUGCCUUUUCUUUAACUCUUGGUUGUAAUACCGGAUUAUGCGGCUCUCAUCUAUAUGUGUUUGCUCCAAAAA